rnacentral:rRNA from 1 species
GACGAACGCUGGCGGCGUGCCUAAUACAUGCAAGUAGAACGCUGAAGAGAGGAGCUUGCUCUUCUUGGAUGAGUUGCGAACGGGUGAGUAACGCGUUGGUAACCUGCCUUGUAGCGGGGGAUAACUAUUGGAAACGAUAGCUAAUACCGCAUAACAAUGGAUGACACAUGUCAUUUAUUUGAAAGGGGCAAUUGCUUCACUACAAGAUGGACCUGCGUUGUAUUAGCUAGUAGGUGAGGUAAUGGCUCACCUAGGCGACGAUACAUAGCCGACCUGAGAGGGUGAUCGGCCACACUGGGACUGAGACACGGCCCAGACUCCUACGGGAGGCAGCAGUAGGGAAUCUUCGGCAAUGGGGGCAACCCUGACCGAGCAACGCCGCGUGAGUGAAGAAGGUUUUCGGAUCGUAAAGCUCUGUUGUAAGUCAAGAACGGGUGUGAGAGUGGAAAGUUCACACUGUGACGGUAGCUUACCAGAAAGGGACGGCUAACUACGUG